GUGCUACUAUGACGAUAAACAUAAUUCAUCUGAGGUUACUAGCCUUUGAACGAUACAAAUAUAGCAAUGUCUUUCGCUCCUAUCUGACUGUAGUUC
rnacentral:snoRNA from 1 species